UACGUAGGGUGCAAGCGUUGUCCGGAAUUAUUGGGCGUAAAGAGCUCGUAGGUGGCCUGUCGCGUCGGCUGUGAAAACUCGGGGCUCAACUCCGAGCUUGCAGUCGAUACGGGCAGGCUGGAGUUCGGUAGGGGAGACUGGAAUUCCUGGUGUAGCGGUGAAAUGCGCAGAUAUCAGGAGGAACACCGGUGGCGAAGGCGGGUCUCUGGGCCGAUACUGACGCUGAGGAGCGAAAGCGUGGGGAGCGAACAGG
rnacentral:rRNA from 1 species